rnacentral:rRNA from 1 species
CAAUAGCGUAUAUUAAAGUUGUUGCGGUUAAAAAAGCUCGUAGUUGGAUUUCUGGGAGGGUGCCAAUGUCCGUCGUCGUACGUGUUGCAGCGGCGCCCUUCCAUCCUUCUGUUAACGACUUUGGGCAUUCAUUUGCCGGAGUCGGGCUCAGAUAUUUUUACCUUGAGAAAAUUAGAGUGUUUCAGGCAGGCUAGGCCGGAAUACAUUAGCAUGGAAUAAUGGAAUAGGACUACGGUCUCUUUGUUGGUUUUCUAGUACUGAAGUAAUGAUUGAUAGGGAUAGUUGGGGGGUGCUAGUAUUGACCGGCCAGAGGGUGAAAUUCUUGGAUUCGGUCAAGACUAACUUAUGCGAAAGCAUUCACCAAGGAUGUCUUCUUAAUCAAGAACGAAAGUUGGGGGAUCGAAGACGAUUAGAUACC